UCUCUAUUCCGUAUGGUAGUCCAACAGAAUUCUCAAUAAUUGAUGGUCAGGGAAUUGAGCGCCUCUUGAGGUCAGAAAACAGUUCAAACGAUAUAAGCAGUUCAAGGGAUACCAUUGUCCUCAUCCUGAGAUUAUUUGUCAUAAGGGCUAUUGAAAGGAAGAAAGGUAAAAAGAGAGGUCUCUUCUUCAAGUAAAGGAGUAUUGUUCCUCCGUUGGGGCAGAUGUGUGAUAGAGCAUUCUAAAUUAUUGGUUGGAGAGAUGGUGAUAUAUCAAAUUGUAAUCGUAUAUAGCAUCUUUGAGCUAGACUUUGUAGUUUAAUUUUCACAACUUUUGGAAUACCUCUGGGUCUAUGUAUAAAGCCUAUCAAAUUUUGGCCCAUGAGUCUACUCUUCAAGAUUUCAUUGUUCUCCUUAGAAAGAAGAUCCCUUUCCCUCUCUGGCAAAGUAGAUUGACAAAUUCUGAACCGUUCGCCAUAAAAAAAGGCAUAUUGUACUUAAACUAAAAUGACUUGGACAUCAAGAGAAUAACAUGUGACUUAGGUUUAUGAGUUGAU